CCGAAUGCGAUACGCAUUGUGAAUUGCAGAUUUCAGUGAACCAUUAGAUUUCCGAACGCAUAUGGCGCUGUAGGGACUUCCCUGCAGCACGUCUGUUUCAGUGUCUUU
rnacentral:rRNA from 1 species